rnacentral:lncRNA from 1 species
UUUUUUUUGGACUGAUUUGCGGUCUUUAUUGUGCCAAGGAGCCACACCAACAGGUCUGGCCGCUACACAGAGGAACCACAGGUAGGAAUCAGGUACAUGGAUGCUUGGUCAGAAUGCUUGACUCGCCAGGUCCUUCUCUGGUCGCCUUUGAAUGUACAUGAGAUUCGUUCGAGAUUCGUUGAGGAUGUUUUUAUUUAUAAUUUUGUUGCUGUUUAUAUUGCAGACAGAUAUACACGACUUUUUGCCUUUUUUUGAAUGUGUUGAAUUAUAAAUGGUGGAUAUUUCUGUUGCCUAAUGAUGAUAGAAGGUGUCGCUUCAGCCGUUUAUUGGUUUGUUUGUUUGUUUUGAUUGAUGACAAGAGAUAUCUCGAACGAAUCGUAUGUUUCGAUCCCGGGAACAUGUACAUGACCCCUGCUUACAAUGGUACAACAUAGGAAAUAUUUCACAAUACUUAAUUCUUCUGCUCAAUGAUCACAGAGGGCCGGGGCAUAGGAUGGACAAGAACCCUCCUUGUGAUGGUGUUCAUUCAUGAAAAUCGUUCAUUCAUGAAAAUCAUCUAAGUCGUGUAGCCUACAGUUAUACAAAGAACAUGAUAAAUAUAUGUCAGAGAAGGUCGUUCAGUUUGUACAGUUAAACAACAGAGUCUCCAAGAAACCAAUCAGUUUGCAGCAAAACCUAAAUGGAAAGGUGCACGAAGAAUACAGACAUGAGGAACUUGGGUAGAGGUACUUCAGAAAAAUCUUACGAAAUCGAUGUAUGAAUGAGACAAUGAUGGCGUUACCGUUUAGUAAUAAAUUACUCGUUUUUGGGAAGGAGAGUGUUGAUAUGAGAAAAGAGUUGUCAGGCCUAUUCAUCAACUACAGCUGUGUCUGAACAUUACAGCUUUUAGUCAUAGCGAAACAAAAUUGUUAGUGAUAGUGUGAUCACAAUGGUGGUCCUAACAAGUAGAUUUCCACUACGAUACGUAUAUACCAUUAUACACUUGAGACAACGUAAAAUAAACUUAAAGCUUGGGGCUCGAACGCCGAACCUCACUGACAUAAUUUGCUCUCAGAGCAUUGCAUUGUCAGGCAGUGAUGCAUAAAACUAUGGAAUAACCUGCAGAGGAGGUGCCAGAAAGGGCCUGGCUGGUAAGGAAGGCUGAGGGACAGACAUGGGGAGGGAAAGGUCGAACGGAGGAGAGAAGGAGAGGAAGAAAAUGGAAAUAGGUGAGAAGGAAAACUAGAAAGAGGAAGAGAGAGAGAGAGAGAGAAAGA